rnacentral:lncRNA from 1 species
GGAGUUUUUAGCCUUUUAACAUUCAAGGAUUAGAGCUCCCUCUUUGCCCACUAGCAGGGCAUUAGCUGGUGCUGAAGACAGUGGCUGCUUGGCGAGCCUGGAUCUCCAAGUGACCCCCUCAGCAACUCCUGAUGAACAGGACUGAAGCCAAUAUUAAAGCAAGUCAACCAAAGGUUCUCUGGUGUAGACAAGACAGCAAAAGGACAGACUACCUUGUGGAACCUAGCAUUGUUCUCCUUCUGCAGCACUAAGUAACAUUUGUUCUCCGUUAAGAUCUUUGCAAACCACACACAAGAAUUGCUGGUCAUCCUGCCAAUAGAUGCUGCUCACAGAACCAAAUUUCCUGUGCUGAAUUGUCACUCAUGGGCUUGAGAGUAGGAGACUGGAGACCAAGGUGGCUAGAAUCCAGUUGGGCCUGAUGUCUCCCUGUUGAAAGGGCUCCUUGUGGAAUGAAUAGCACAUGGCUCCUGUGGUGGAUCUGAUAGUGGCAUAGCACCAAGUGAUGCAGGCCUGCCAGGGGCCACAGACACAGAAGAUGCUCCCGGGGUCCCCCAUGUACUCCAGACACACUGCAGGCCACCUCUCCCAGCAGGUUGCCAGUCAUGGGCCCCAUCAUCAUGACUUCUGUCCAAGGGACUUGCACUUAGGAAUCUGUUACAGUGAGCACAGAAGCAGACCUGUGGGCUCAUAGUCUUCACCCCCCACCCAUAUAUACAAGAUGAACAGAGUGGAGGUUAAACAACUUGACUAAACAACACAGUUCAUGGUAAAGCCCAAGACUGUACCUGCCCAUCCACUGCCUUUUCCAUGUAUCCUGGAACUGAGCAUAGACCUCUUCCCAGGCAGAGCUGACAGCAAGUAAAGGAGAUCAUAAUCAGGGGACCAAACAACUUUGUCUAAAGUGUGAAUGUCACCUAAGGAGAAGCUGUGAGAUCAGAAGGGUGGGGCAGAGGAGCAGACACCAUGAGGGAGAGUCCUUGGGGGUACAUCUGCCAGACUGACACUGUCUGGCCUGGGCAGUGGAGGGGCUAGCAGGAACCACAGGUACUGGUGGUGUGGCUACUACCGUUACAACUGCCUGUGCUUGGACAUGGACCCUCUGCAAUAUGCGGCAGUUUCAUUCAUUGCCCCCUACAUUCUACACCAAGUAGAAAUGGAAGGCAAUUGGAUACUUCACAGACAAGAUCUAAGUGGAGAAGGAAUGCGUCCUGUGGCUGCAGAGAUCCUUGGAGCUUGGAGGGGAGAGCUUGAGCCCCACUGAUGAUGACCUCCCACAGCUCGCCAACUCAGCCCUCCCUAAGUCCCCAUCGGGGGCCAAUUCUCACUCUGGGGUUGGGGGGACUCCACCAUAGCUCAUCCAUCAUAGGGAUGUUGGUAUCUACUGUGGGUUGGGUAGGGCCGAUGUGCUGAGGAUGGCUCCCCCACAAGCAAGAGAUGUGGAUUUGGGGAGCUUCCCAUCUUGUGUUGAAGGAACAUAACUCAGAAUAAUAAGAGCCAACUAUAACAAACCCACAGCCAACAUCAUACUGAAUGGGCAAAAGCUGCAGGCAUUCCCCUUGAAAAGUGGCACAGGAUAAGGAAGCCCUUUCUCACCACUCCUAUUCAAUAUAGUGUUGAAAGUCCUGAUCACAGCAGUCAGGCAACAGAAAUAAUAAAGGGCAUCCAAAUAGGAAGAGAGGAAGUCAAACUAUCCUUGUUUGCAGACAGUAUGAUUCUAUAUCUAGAAAACCCCAUAGCCUCAGCCCAAAAGGUCCUUCAUCUGAUAAUUUCAGCAAAGUUUCAGGAGACAAAAUCAGUGUACAAAAAUCACUAACAUUCCUAUACACAGUCGCCAAGCCAAGAGCCAAAUCAGGAGCACAAUCCCAUUCAUAAUUGCCACAAAAAAGAAUAAAAUACCCAGGAAUGCAGCUAACCAAGGAAGUAAAGGAUCUCUACAAUGAGAAUCACAAACGCUGCUCAAAGAAAUCAGAGAUGACACAAACAAAUGGAAAAACUUUCCAUGCUCAUGGCUAGGAAGAAUCAAUAUCAUUAAAGUGGCCAUACUACCCAAAGCAAUUUAUAGAUUCAAUGCUAUUCCUAUCAAACUAUCAAUUACAUUUUUCACAGAACUAGAAAAAACUUAAAAUUCAUAUGGAACCAAAAAGCCUGAGUAGUCAAGGCAAUCCUAAACAAAAAGAACAAAGGUGGAGGCAUCACAUUACCUAACUUCAAACUACAGGGCUACCAUGACCAAAACAGCAUGGUACUGGUACAAAAGCAGACACACAGACCAGUGGGACAGAAUAGAGAGCCCAAAAAUAAGGCCACAAACCUACAGCCAUCUGAUCUUCAACAAAGUUGACAAAAACAAGCAAUGGGGAAAGGUCUCCCUAUUCAAUAAAUGGUGCUGGGAUAACUGGCUGGCCAUAUGCAGAAGAUCGUAACUGGACCCCUUUUACUAUGUACAAAAAUUAAGAUGGUUUAAAGAGUUAAAACCCAAAAUUAUAAAAAUCCUGAAGAUAACUUAGGCAAUACCAUUCUGGACAUAGGAACUGGCAAAUAUUUCAUGAUGAAGACACCAAAAGCAAUUGUAACAAAAGCAAAAAUGGACAAAUUGGAUUUAAGAGCUUUUUCAUAGCAAAAUAAACAACAGGGCAGACAAUCUACCAAAUGACAGAAAAUUUUUGCAAACUAUGCAUCUGACAAGGGGCUAAUAUCUAGCAUCUAUAAGGAAUUUAAACACAGUUACAGGAAAAAAAAAACCCACUCCAUUAAAAAAUGGGCAAAGGACAUGAACAGACACUUUUCAAAAAAGACAUACAUACAGCCAACUAGCGUGUUAAAGAAAACCUCAAUUAUCACUGAUCAUUAGAGAAAUGCAAAAUCAAAACCAUGAUGAGAUAUCAUCUGCCAGUCAGGAUGGCUACAAAAAAGUAAAAAAAUAAUAGAUGUUGGUGAGGUUAUGGAGAAAAGGAACUUAUACACUUGUUAGGAGUGUAAAUUAGUUCAAUCACUGUGGACAGCAGUGUGGUGAUUCCUCAGAGAGCUAAAAACAACUACCAUUUGACUCACCAAUCCCAUUACUGGAUAUUUACCUAAAGGAAUAUAAAUCAUUCCACCAUAAAGACACAUGCAAGUGUAUGUUCAUUGCAGCACUAUUAACAGUAACAAAGCUGGGCACAGUGGCUCACCUCACGACUGUAAUCCCAGCACUUUGGGAGGCUGAGGUAGGCGGAUCACCUGAGGUCGGCAGUUUGAGACCAGCCUGACCAACAUGGAGAGACCCCAUCUCUACUAAAAAUACAAAAUUAGCCAGGUGUGGUGGCUCAUGCCUGUAAUCCCAGCUACUUGGGAGGCCAAGGCAGGAGAAUUGCUUGAACCCAGGAGGCAGAGGUUGCAGUGAGCCGAGAUCACACCAUUGCACUCUAGCCUGGUGAAGGAGCAAGACUCCAUCUCAAAAAAAAAAAAAAAAAAGAAAGAAAGAAAAAUACACAUUCAGAGGAGACAAAAAAUAAAAAACAAUGAUGCAUGCCCACAGGAUCUAGAAAAUAACUUCUUAAGGGCAAAUCUAGGAGUUAUUGGCCUUAAAGAAGAGAUAGAGAAAGAGAUAGGAAUAGAAAGUUUGUUGAAAGGGAUAAUAACAUAGAACUUCCUAAACCUACAGAAAGAUAUUUAUAUCCAAGUACAAGAAGGUUAUAGAACACCAGGCCAAUUUAACCCAAAGAUUACCUCAAGGCAUUUAAUAAUCAAACUCCCACAGGACAAGGGUAAAGAAAGGAUCCUAAAAGCAGCAAGAGAAAAGAAACAGAUAACAUACAAUGGAGCUCCAAUACAUCUGGCAGUAUAUUUUUCAGUGGAAACCUUACAAGCCAGGAGAGAGUGACAUGACAUAUGUUAAAGUGCUGAAGGGAAAAAACCUUUUACCCUAGAAUAGUAUAUCCAGCAAAAAUAUCCUUCAAACAUGAAGAAUAAACAAAGACUUCCCCAGACAAACAAAAGCUGAGGGAUUUCAUCAACACUAGACUGGUCCCAUAAGAAACGCUUAAGGGAGUACUUUGGUCAGAAAGAAACAGACAUUAAUGAGCAACAAAGAAUCAUCUAAAGGUAAAAAACUCACUGUUAAGAGUAAGUACACAGAAAAACCCAAAGUGUGAUAACAUUGUAACUGUGGUGUGUAAGUAGAAAGAAUAAAUGAUAAACCAAUCAAAAAUAGUAACUACAACUUUUCAAGACCAGUCAGAAAAAUAAGAUAAAAUUAGAAACAACAAAAAGUUAAAAAGUGGGGGGAUGAAGUUAAGAUGUAGAGUUUUUAUUAGUUUUUUGUUUGUUAAUGCAAACAGUGUUACCAGGUUAAAAUAAUGGGUUACAAAAUAGUAUUUGUAAUCCUUAUGGUAACCUCAAACCUAAAAACAUACACUGGAUACAUAAAAAAUAAAAAGCAAAAACCUAAAUCAUAUCACCAGAGCAAACUACCUUCCCUAAAGGAAGACAGGAAGAAAAGAAAGAAGAAGACCACAAAACAACCAGAAAACAAAUAAAUAACAAGGCAGGAGUAAGUCUUUACUUAUCGAUAAUACAUUGAAUGGAAAUAUGGACUAAACUCUCCAAUCAAAAGACAUAGACUGGCUGAAUGAAUGGAGAAAACAAGACCCAUUGAUCUGUUGCCUACAAGAAACACACUUAAACUAUAAAGACACACAUAGGCUGAAAGUAAAGAGUUGGAAAGAGUUAUUCCAUGCCAAUGGAAACCAGGAAAAAGAGAAGGAGUAUUGAUUUUGAUACAAAAACUAUGAGACAAAUAAAGUCACUAUACAAUGAUAAAGGGGUUAAUAUGGUUUCCAUUUGUGCCCCACCCAAAUUUCGUGUUCUAUUGUAAUCCUCAAUGUUGGAGGUGGGGCCUGGUGGGACGUGAUUAGAUCAUGGGGGUGGAUCUUUCAUGACUAAUUCAGCACCAUCUUCUUAGUGCUGUUCUCAUGAUAGUGAGUUCUUCUGAAAUCUGGUUGCUUAAAAGUGUGUAGCACCUCUCCACACCACCCGCUUGCCUUGGUCUACUCCUGCUAUGUAGAUGCUUGCUCCCACUUUGCAUUAUUCCAUGAGUAAAAGCUCCCUCAGGCCUUCCCAGAAUCAGAUGCCGCUAUGCUUCCUGAACAGCCUGUGGAACUAUGAGCCAAUUCAACCUCUUUUCUUCAUAAAUUAACAAGUCUUGGGUAUUUCUUUAUAGCAGUGUGAGAACAGAAUAAUACAGAAAAUUGGUAAAGAGGAGUGAGGCAUUGCUAGAAAGAUACCUGAAAAUGUGGAAACAGCAGUGGAACUGGGAAAUAGACAGAGGUUGGAAGAGUGUGGAGGGCUCCGAAGAUAGGAAGAUGAGGGGAAGUUUGGAAUUUCUUAGAGAUUUGUUAAAUUGUUUUGACCAAAAUACUGAUGGUGAUAUGGACAAUGAAGUCCAGGCUGAGGAGGUCUCAGAUGGAGAUGAGGGACUUAUUGGGACCUGGAGUGAAGGUCACUUUUGUUAGGACAUUGUGGUUGGAGACAUUGUGCCCCUGCCCUAGGAAUCUGUGGAACUUUGAACUUGAGAGCGAAGAUUUAGGGUAUCUGGCAGAAGAAAUUUCUAAGCAGCAAAGCGUUCAAGACGUGGCCUGGCUGCUUCUGGUAGUCUGUGCUCAUAUUUGUGAGCAAAGACAUGACAAGAAACUGGAACUUAUAUUUAAAAAGGAAGCAGAGUGUAAAAGUUUGGAGAAUUUGCAGCCUGGCCAUGUUGUAGAAAAGAAAAAAACCAUUUUCUGGAGAGGAAUUCAAGCUAGCUGCAGAAAAUUGCAAGUAACAAGGAGCAAAAUGUUGAUAGCCAAGAUAGUGGGAAAAACACC